UGAGGAAUAUUCGUCAAUGGGGGGAACCCUGAACGAGCAACGCCGCGUGGAGGAUGAAGGCCCUUGGGUUGUAAACUCCUUUUCGGAGGGAAGAGGAAGGACGGUACCUUCGGAAUAAGUCACGGCUAACUACGUGCCAGCAGCCGCGGUAAUACGUAGGUGGCAAGCGUUAUCCGGAAUUACUGGGCGUAAAGCGCACGCAGGCGGCUGUCCAAGUCUGACGUGAAAGCUCCUGGCUUAACUGGGAGAGGUCGUUGGAAACUAGAUGGCUUGAGGCGAGGAGAGGGGUGUAGAAUUCCCGGUGUAGUGGUGGAAUGCGUAGAUAUCGGGAGGAAUACCGAGUGGCGAAAGCGGCACCCUGGCCUUGGCCUGACGCUCAGGUGCGAAAGCGUGGGUAGCG
rnacentral:rRNA from 1 species